rnacentral:rRNA from 1 species
AUGAACAUUUUAGCCUGGAACUGUCGGGGGUUGGGGUUGGACCCGACGGUGGGCAAAUUACAGGACCUUGUUAGGUCAUACAACCCGGCGGUGGUUUUCUUAUCAGAAACUAAAAAAACAGCAGAAGCGAUGGAGAGAUUGAAGUGGAGUCUAGGAUUUAGGCAUGGGGUAGCUGUGAACUGCAACGUCAAGAGUGGGGGACUGGCGUUAUGGUGGAAAGAACAUGUGGAUAUAACGGUGAGGCCGUGGUGCCAAUACUACAUCGAUGCCCAAGUUGUGCUGGAUGGUGUCACCUUUAGAUUCACUGGAAUCUAUGGGGAGCCAUGUGUGGAGAAGAGAAAGAAAACCUGGGAUGUGCUUCGGUACCUACGAGCACAGGAUAAUCUCCCAUGGCUAUGUGCAGGGGACUACGACGAGGCUCUUAUACAGAAAGAGCAGUUGGGUGGUAACCCGAGGUGUUUGAGCCAAAUGGAGAGCUUCGCUGAAUGCUUGACCGACUGCGGGCUCGCUGAUAUAGGCUACUCGGGAUAUCCAUUCACAUGGGAUAGCAAAAGAGAUGGAAACGAGAACAUUCAAGUGAGGUUGGACCGGGCCACCUGCAACGCUGACUUUGCAUAG